CCUUCCCCGAUCAUCCCAGCCCCGGGGGUUUUUGUCCUGCUCCCUCAUAGUAAUCUGCAGUGGUGACUCCUUUGUCUCAUCCUCCCUUGGCACACAGUAGGGCUGCUGGCAGCAGGUGAGGCCUGGGACAAGGGCUCAGAGAGUCAGGAUGGGCUUUGGCCAUGCCACUAAAUAACGAGUUUCUCUUCUCGCCCUCCCAGGUGGUGUGAAGGGGAGACGGCUGCCUUCUCCUGGGAAGGGAGCAGAUGCCUGGCCCAGGACCAAAUCAAAAGCUGAGGCUCACUGCCCCCAGUGGGCAGUGGGUCGGGGUGUUCCUGAGGCCAGGUCGUGGCCCAGCCCUGCUGCCCCCAGGAUGGCCCCUGGCUUGGAGGGGUGUGGGGCCCCGUUAGUCUGACGUUGAAGAAGACCAGCCUUCCAGUCUCGCUUGGUGGCCUGCCAGAGCCCGGGGCACCCCAGUGUUGCCUGGAUCUGACUCUGCCUCAGUGAAAACUGCCUCGAAUUCUUUCUUGCACCGAUGGGCAGAUGGGCAAUGUCCGAGGAUCAUGUUGUCGGCCCUGUGGCGUGGGUUGGCUUGGUCAAGUCAGUGUUGAAAGGAUCUACUGCUCUUUCAAGGGGAUCUGGGGCUCUAGAAGACUAGAGGACUUUGAGGUUAGUAACUUGCCCAAAGUCGGCUGGGAAGCAAGACCCAGGAUUCCAACUUAGGUCUGUGUGAUUCCUCUGCAAAAUGGAGAGGUGCAAGGAUGGAUGUGAGGUCUUUGGCGGGAUGGAUGGCUGCAUCAAGGUGCACGCAUAGCUGGAGAGAUGGCUGGCUACCUGAUGAAAGCUGGUAAGAUGGAUGAGUGAACUGAAGCACAGGUGGUGGAAGGAGAGAGCAAUGAGAGAGAAUAGUCAAUUUCUCACUAAGAUCAAAGGCUUACUUGAUCUUUGAAGAGAGGUUCCCUCUGAGUGGAGCUUGCUGGUGAAGCUCCUGCCUUCUGUUCUGCGUCUGAGCGCACUGGCUGGCUCAGGUGGCUGUGGGACAACAAGUGGGAUGGCAGCUUACAGGGACCAAGUCCUAGCUGCAGUGCUCCGUGAGCUGCUCAGUGGCAACUCCCUGUCUCUGCUGUUUUUACGCAGCGCUGAGGAAGAGCAGGCAUCUGCCUUUCCACUUGCUCUCCUGGAUGACUAAGCCCUAAGCCUCAACCGCAUACACAGCCCUUCAUUGGCACUUGGCAUAAUUUUACCUCCUCUAAAUCAUCACAGCCACCCUCCAUGAUAGCAAUUUCCAUUCUUAAUUAAGCAAAAGGAAACCAGAGUGUAGGAGUGGUAAGUGACUUACCCGAAACCAUAGAGGGAGCCAGUGCGGACCCAGCAUUUGAACUCUAGUCUUCUUUCCUUCCAAACUCACCCCUCAACCUGUUUAGCUCCUUUUCUUUGACCAUGUCUGAAAACCUCUGCAUGCCUUGGGGUUCACUCAUGUUGGACUCACUCUCUUGGUCUGUCAGUGAGCUGAACUUCUCAUCCAAUCAAAUCCAAGUUUAUUUCCCACGUAAUAUCUCUAGUGUGUUCUGUUUGUAAUGACCACACAAACAAGGACCACACAUAUCACUACAGUACAAUUAAUCAACUCAAAGUAGAUUCCUGGCACCUCACAUUCUGACUGAAUGCUAAUGGUAGCGUAUGUAAAAGUGACUCCUGUGCAAGGCAAGGAGGGAGGGGACGGGACGGAGGUCUGAAUGGCCAUCAGUGAGCCUCGCUGCAUAUAAUGUUAGCAGACAGGCUUUGAGAACCUGCUCAGAAUGUGUGGGCCCUGCCUCACACAUUCCAGGUGCUAAGGUUUCCACCUCAGCUGUGCCAUUGACUACUUUUGUGAGUUUGGACAACAUAUUUAAUUUCUGUGCCUCAGUUUCUUCAGUUGUACCAGUAGUACCUGACUAAUACUGAUAGUACCUUACUAAUUAGUACUUGAGAAUUAAAUCAGGCAAACAUAUAAAUUCCUUAAAAGAGAGCAUUCCAGACUGGGCAGGGUGGCUCAUGCCUGUAAUCCCAGCACUUUGGGAGGCUGAGGUGGGAGGAUCGCUUGGACCCAGGAGUUUGAAAGCAGCCUGAGACACAUAGGGAGACCCCCCAAUCUCUACA